rnacentral:rRNA from 1 species
GGAUAGAGCCAGCGAAGUUGCUCGUAUUCAGCCAAAGGCCUGUGGCAUCGGUGUGUCGGGUUGCUAAUCACGCCUGGCCGGCCUUUUGUCCACCGGUUGAGGUGCAUUUGCGGGCAUUUGCGCUGAGACUUGCGAGACAGCUUCUGGACCCGGGCCUAGAGGCCGUCCUUUGGGCGGAACCUUGGCACGGCGACGGUUGUUUGGUCUGCUCGUACCACGGCUUGGCCUACGGACCUGGGCGCUGGUGUCGUCUGCUUGUGGUGGCAUCGCAUGCGAUGACCCACCUGUGGGCGGCUCGGUCGUUUGGCGUUCCCAAGUCGGCUCUCGGUGUAAAAGCUGGUCACCUAUCCGACCCGUCUUGAAACACGGACCAAGGAGUUUAGCGUAUGCGCGAGCCAUUGGGUGUCAAAACUCACAGGCACAAUGAAAGUGAAGGCCCAGUCGCUGGGCUGACAUGCGAGUUGGGGGCUCACGGGCCGCCGAUGCAGCAUGGUCCCGUUCCGGUCGCUUGCGAUGGAGCGGAGACAGAGCGUAUGCGCUGAG